rnacentral:rRNA from 3 species
AAAAGUUUAACGGCCGCGGUAUUUUGACCGUGCGAAGGUAGCGUAAUCACUUGUCUUUUAAAUGAAGACCUGUAUGAAUGGCAUUACGAGGGCUCAACUGUCUCCUUUUUCCAGUCAGUGAAAUUGACCUGCUCGUGCAGAGGCGAGCAUAACCCCAUAAGACGAGAAGACCCUAUGGAGCUUAAAACACAAGAUCAACUAUGCUAUCAAGCCAACCACCUACGGAAAUAACAGCUAAAAGCACAAUAGUACUAUGAUCCUAAUGUUUUCGGUUGGGGCGACCACGGAGGACAAAAAAGCCUCCAUGUCGACGGGGGCACUGCCCCUAAAACCUAGGGCGACAGCCCAAAGCAACAGAACAUCUGACGAACAAUGACCCAGGCCAAAGCCUGAUCAACGAACCAAGUUACCCUAGGGAUAACAGCGCAAUCCUUUCUGAGAGUCCAUAUCGACGAAAGGGUUUACGACCUCGAUGUUGGAUCAGGACAUCCUAAUGGUGCAGCCGCUAUUAAGGG